CGGAGCUGUAGCCCGGUGCGGCGGCGCCGUUGAUUUCGGCGGUGAUGAAGCCGUUGUAGUGCAUCACCCGGUCCGGGCCCGAAGUGCUGC
rnacentral:tRNA from 1 species